rnacentral:rRNA from 1 species
AGUGAACGCUGGCGGUAGGCCUAACACAUGCAAGUCGAACGGCCGCACAGUAAGAUCUUGCUCUUACGGGUGGCGACUGGCGGACGGGUGAGGAAUACAUCGGAAUCUACUUUUUCGUGGGGGAUAACGUAGGGAAACUUACGCUAAUACCGCAUACGACCUACGGGUUAAAGCAGUGGUUCUUCGGACCUUUCGUGUUUGAAUGAGCCGAUGUCGCAUUAGCUAGUUGGCGGGGUAAAGGCCCACCAAGGCGACGAUCCGUAGCUGGUCUGAGAGGAUGAUCAGCCACAAUGGAACUGAGACACGGUCCAGACUCCUACGGGAGGCAGCAGUGGGGAAUAUUGGGCAAUGGGCGAAAGCCUGAUCCAGCCAUACCGCGUGAGUGAAGAAGGCCUUCGGGUUGUAAAGCCCUUUUGUUGGGAAAGAAAAGAAGCAGGUUAAUACGCCGCUGUUCUGACGGUACCCAAAGAAUAAGCACCGGCUAACUUCGUG